rnacentral:rRNA from 1 species
GACGAACGCUGGCGGCGUGCCUAAUACAUGCAAGUCGAACGCAUUUUCUUUCACCGUAGCUUGCUACACCGAAAGAAAAUGAGUGGCGAACGGGUGAGUAACACGUUGGUAACCUGCCCAUCAGCGGGGGAUAACACUUGGAAACAGGUGCUAAUACCGCAUAAUUCCAUUUACCGCAUGGUAGAUGGGUGAAAGGCGCUUUUGCGUCACUGAUGGAUGGACCCGCGGUGCAUUAGCUAGUUGGUGGGGUAACGGCCUACCAAGGCUGCGAUGCAUAGCCGACCUGAGAGGGUGAUCGGCCACACUGGGACUGAGACACGGCCCAGACUCCUACGGGAGGCAGCAGUAGGGAAUCUUCGGCAAUGGACGCAAGUCUGACCGAGCAACGCCGCGUGAGUGAAGAAGGUUUUCGGAUCGUAAAACUCUGUUGUUAGAGAAGAACAAGGAUGAGAGUGGAAAGUUCAUCCCUUGACGGUAUCUAACCAGAAAGCCACGGCUAACUACGUG